rnacentral:rRNA from 1 species
CACACUAUCAUUAACUGAAUCCAUAGGUUAAUGAGGCGAACCGGGGGAACUGAAACAUCUAAGUACCCCGAGGAAAAGAAAUCAACCGAGAUUCCCCCAGUAGCGGCGAGCGAACGGGGAGCAGCCCAGAGCCUGAAUCAGUGUGUGUGUUAGUGGAAGCGUCUGGAAAGGCGCGCGAUACAGGGUGACAGCCCCGUACACAAAAAUGCACAUACUGUGAGCUCGAUGAGUAGGGCGGGACACGUGGUAUCCUGUCUGAAUAUGGGGGGACCAUCCUCCAAGGCUAAAUACUCCUGACUGACCGAUAGUGAACCAGUACCGUGAGGGAAAGGCGAAAAGAACCCCGGCGAGGGGAGUGAAAAAGAACCUGAAACCGUGUACGUACAAGCAGUGGGAGCCUCUUUAUGGGGUGACUGCGUACCUUUUGUAUAAUGGGUCAGCGACUUAUAUUCUGUAGCAAGGUUAACCGAAUAGGGGAGCCGAAGGGAAACCGAGUCUUAACUGGGCGUUAAGUUGCAGGGUAUAGACCCGAAACCCGGUGAUCUAGCCAUGGGCAGGUUGAAGGUUGGGUAACACUAACUGGAGGACCGAACCGACUAAUGUUGAAAAAUUAGCGGAUGACUUGUGGCUGGGGGUGAAAGGCCAAUCAAACCGGGAGAUAGCUGGUUCUCCCCGAAAGCUAUUUAGGUAGCGCCUCGUGAAUUCAUCUCCGGGGGUAGAGCACUGUUUCGGCAAGGGGGUCAUCCCGACUUACCAACCCGAUGCAAACUGCGAAUACCGGAGAAUGUUAUCACGGGAGACACACGGCGGGUGCUAACGUCCGUCGUGAAGAGGGAAACAACCCAGACCGCCAGCUAAGGUCCCAAAGUCAUGGUUAAGUGGGAAACGAUGUGGGAAGGCCCAGACAGCCAGGAUGUUGGCUUAGAAGCAGCCAUCAUUUAAAGAAAGCGUAAUAGCUCACUGGUCGAGUCGGCCUGCGCGGAAGAUGUAACGGGGCUAAACCAUGCACCGAAGCUGCGGCAGCGACACUAUGUGUUGUUGGGUAGGGGAGCGUUCUGUAAGCCUGUGAAGGUGUGCUGUGAGGUAUGCUGGAGGUAUCAGAAGUGCGAAUGCUGACAUAAGUAACGAUAAAGCGGGUGAAAAGCCCGCUCGCCGGAAGACCAAGGGUUCCUGUCCAACGUUAAUCGGGGCAGGGUGAGUCGACCCCUAAGGCGAGGCCGAAAGGCGUAGUCGAUGGGAAACAGGUUAAUAUUCCUGUACUUGGUGUUACUGCGAAGGGGGGACGGAGAAGGCUAUGUUGGCCGGGCGACGGUUGUCCCGGUUUAAGCGUGUAGGCUGGUUUUCCAGGCAAAUCCGGAAAAUCAAGGCUGAGGCGUGAUGACGAGGCACUACGGUGCUGAAGCAACAAAUGCCCUGCUUCCAGGAAAAGCCUCUAAGCAUCAGGUAACAUCAAAUCGUACCCCAAACCGACACAGGUGGUCAGGUAGAGAAUACCAAGGCGCUUGAGAGAACUCGGGUGAAGGAACUAGGCAAAAUGGUGCCGUAACUUCGGGAGAAGGCACGCUGAUAUGUAGGUGAAGUCCCUUGCGGAUGGAGCUGAAAUCAGUCGAAGAUACCAGCUGGCUGCAACUGUUUAUUAAAAACACAGCACUGUGCAAACACGAAAGUGGACGUAUACGGUGUGACGCCUGCCCGGUGCCGGAAGGUUAAUUGAUGGGGUUAGCGGUAACGCGAAGCUCUUGAUCGAAGCCCCGGUAAACGGCGGCCGUAACUAUAACGGUCCUAAGGUAGCGAAAUUCCUUGUCGGGUAAGUUCCGACCUGCACGAAUGGCGUAAUGAUGGCCAGGCUGUCUCCACCCGAGACUCAGUGAAAUUGAACUCGCUGUGAAGAUGCAGUGUACCCGCGGCAAGACGGAAAGACCCCGUGAACCUUUACUAUAGCUUGACACUGAACAUUGAGCCUUGAUGUGUAGGAUAGGUGGGAGGCUUUGAAGUGUGGACGCCAGUCUGCAUGGAGCCGACCUUGAAAUACCACCCUUUAAUGUUUGAUGUUCUAACGUUGGCCCCUGAUCGGGGUUGCGGACAGUGUCUGGUGGGUAGUUUGACUGGGGCGGUCUCCUCCUAAAGAGUAACGGAGGAGCACGAAGGUUGGCUAAUCCUGGUCGGACAUCAGGAGGUUAGUGCAAUGGCAUAAGCCAGCUUGACUGCGAGCGUGACGGCGCGAGCAGGUGCGAAAGCAGGUCAUAGUGAUCCGGUGGUUCUGAAUGGAAGGGCCAUCGCUCAACGGAUAAAAGGUACUCCGGGGAUAACAGGCUGAUACCGCCCAAGAGUUCAUAUCGACGGCGGUGUUUGGCACCUCGAUGUCGGCUCAUCACAUCCUGGGGCUGAAGUAGGUCCCAAGGGUAUGGCUGUUCGCCAUUUAAAGUGGUACGCGAGCUGGGUUUAGAACGUCGUGAGACAGUUCGGUCCCUAUCUGCCGUGGGCGCUGGAGAACUGAGGGGGGCUGCUCCUAGUACGAGAGGACCGGAGUGGACGCAUCACUGGUGUUCGGGUUGUCAUGCCAAUGGCACUGCCCGGUAGCUAAAUGCGGAAGAGAUAAGUGCUGAAAGCAUCUAAGCACGAAACUUGCCCCGAGAUGAGUUCUCCCUGAC